rnacentral:lncRNA from 1 species
UGCGCGGCGCCGCGGGGCCUUAGCGGACGGAGGGGAGCGCGGGGGUCACCGGGCCGGGCCGGCAGCCCUAGAGCUCGGCCUGGCGGGGACCCUGGGCCAGCCCCGCGCCUCCGUGGCCCGGGCGUCUCGUGCGUGUCCGCGAACUCGCGUGCGCGCGUCACCUCGGACCGCAGCAUGGCUCGGAGGGCGGCCCUACUCGCGCCGCCCUAGUGCUGCGAAGGGCCUCGGAGCCCAAACCCGGAACCGCCAUCUGGGACUGGGAAGACGACAUGGCCAGAAGCCGACUGGACAGCCGGCACCACCCCAUGAUUCAAGGAUGGCCAUAGCCCAGUGCAGGAGCAGAUUUGCUUCCAGUUUGCCCUUCCUCCUAGGUGGAGUCUCGCUCUGUCACCCAGGCUGGAGUGCAAUGGCACGGUCUCAGCUCACUGCAACCUCUGCCUCCCAGAUUCAAGCAAUUCUGCCUCAACCUCCUGAGUAGCUGGGACUACAGGCACGUGUCACCACGCCCAGCUAUUUUUUUUUUUUUUUUUUUUUUUUUGAGACAGAGUCUCCCUCUGUCGCCCAGGCUGGAGUGCAAUGGCGCAAUCUCAGCUCACUGCAAGCUCCGCCUCCCCGGUUCCCGCCAUUCUCUUGCCUCAGCCUCCCGAGUAGCUGGCACUACAGGCGCCUGCCACCCAUGACCGGGUAAUUUUUUUUGUAUUUUUUAGUAGAGACGGGGUUUCACUGUGUUAGCCAGGAUGGUCUCGAUCUCCUGACCUCAUGAUCCGCCCGCCUCGGCCUCCCAAAGUGCUGGGAUUACAGGCGUGAGCCACCAUGCCCGGCCUUAAUAACUUUUUAAAGGAUGUCAAGUUAAUGGAAUGUAUUCUGCUUUAGAAAAUAAAACUCUUAGGUUUUCAAAACUUAGCAGCCCCAGCAUUACCAAGGGCCUGCCUACCGUUUACAGUAUGUGAAUCCUACUUCCUUUUCAUGGUUGUAAGACUGGGAUUUUCUGGGAGCCGACCUGCAGGAGUCCACAGGCCACCCGUUAGGACUGUGCACGCUCCUCCACAAACAUGCCUGUGGGGGGAUCCUUGGCUCUCUCUGCAGGGGUGCGUUGGGUGUGCACCAGCUGGGAAGGAAGGAUCUGUCGGAACUGCAAUCAAAGCCACGGCAGGCCUCCCAGGGUCUUACUGGUGGUGAAAACAACCAGCUUCCUCGUCCCUCCCUCAAGCAUGGCAACCACCGCCCUGAGACUCAAAGAUACCUGGAGGAGUGUGAUCGGGCUGACCUGUUGCUCUUAUCUGGAAUUCUUUGAGGGUGAUGGGAGAUCACUUCUUUUUUUUUUUUUUUUUUUUUUUUGAGACAGGAUCUUGUUUUGUCAACCAGGCUGGAGUGCAGGUUCAGGUGAUUCUUCCGCCUCAGCCUCCCCAAGUAGGCUGAGUAGCUGAGAAAACAGAUGCGCACCACCAUGCCUGGUUAAUUUUUGGAUGUUUUGCAGCCAUGUGGUUUCACCAUGUUGUCCAGUCUGGUCUUGAACUCCUGAGCUCAAGGGAUCCUCCCACCUCGGCCUCCCAAAGCAUUGAGAUUACAGGUAUGAGCCACUGUACCCGGCUACCCAGGAGAUUACUAUUUUUUGGCAUAAAACCAAACAAAACUAUUCAUUAGUUUAUCCACUCAACAUUGAUUUAUUAUUCCUGACUGCAGCCAACAACAUUGUGAAUACUUUCCCUGCCUCAAGCUCUGUUCUAGGUCCUAGAACAUUCAUGACAAUUUGUUUCUCUGCCCUCUGGCAGGUGAGAAAACUUUGUAAGAAGUUUCAAUAGCAAAAAGUAUGAGAAGAUGUACAAUAGAUCUGGGACUAUUUGUAACAAACCCGGUGGAAGAUGUAGGAGCAGAGGUGGAAGGCCUUAAAGAGGGUCCUGCGCAUGCCGGGCGGGCCUCCAACAGAGAAAACACACAACCUGGCCAGGCACAGUGGCUCACGCCUGUAAUCCCAGCACUUUGGGAGGCCAGUGCGGGUGGAUCACCUGAGGUCAGGAGUUCGAGAUCAGCCUGGCCAAUGUAGUGAAACCCCAGUCUCUACCAAAAAUACAAAAAUUAGCCGGGCUUGGCACAGGCUUGCAAUCCCAGCUGAGGCAGGAGAAUCGCUUGAACCUGGGAGGUGGAGGUUGCAAUGAGCCAAGAUCAUGCUUUUGCACUCCAGCCUGGACGACAGAGUGAGACUCUGUCUCAAAACAAAAUAAAUAAAAUAGACACGCAAUCCAUACCACAGCCACCAGGGUGAUUGUCCAGGUUGUAUUUCUGCUGACAUCGACCCUUCAUGCCUUCCUCUUGUUGACCCUUCCAGCUACACCUAGCUCGGUCCUCUUCGGAGCCACGCCAACACCCAGGUUCCUCUGCAGUGCAUCCCCAUGGGGAUUUACCCGGUGAUUGAUUUUAUUUCUUUAUUUAUUUUUAUUAUUAUUAUUAUUUUUGAGACAGAGUUUCACUCUUGUUUCCCAGGCUGGAGUGCAGUGGCGCAAUCCCAGCUCACUGCAACCUCUGCCUCCCGGGUUCAAGCGAUUAUCCAGUCUCAGCCUCCCGAGUAGCUGGGAUUACAGAUGUGUGCCACCACGCCCAGCUAAUUUUUGCAUUUUAGUAGAGACGGGGUUUCGCCAUGUUGGCCAGGCUGGUCUCGAACUCCUGACCUCAGGUGAUCUGCCCGCCUCGACCUCCCAAAGUGCUGGGAUGACAGGCGUGAGCCACUGAUCCGGCAGUUCUUAAUCAGACAAAACUCAGCCCCAACUCCAGUAGCUGAUGCAGGGGUGGAAUUUCAUUCUGCUUCUUCCUUACUGUUAUUUUAUGCAAGGGGGUGGAGCGUGUGCGUGUUGGGGACGGAAAAGUGGGAAAGGCAAAUGGUCCGCUGGACCACAGUGGUCAUUGUAUGGGUCAGAAAUCAGGUUACUCUUAGAGAAAGAAACUAUUGAGAAUCAACCCAAAGGGAAUUAAAUGAACACCUGUAAAGGAAUGUGGGGACUUACUAAGCACGGGGCUGAGAAGAUGCCAUCAGGCAAGGGUGAUUCCGAUAGUCGGAGGAAGCUACUCCCUGAUAUAGCGAGGACUGAGGCUCACAUGUCACAACCGGUCAUCGUAAAGACCAGCGGUGCUGCUAUACCUCCCACAGUACAUAGAAUAACCCCGUAAAGAAUGACCUGGCUGGGGCCUGAGAGCAUUGCUUUACCUGGAGGUGCAGCCAGUCAGCCAGGGGAACGAAGCAGUAUUUGUGGGCUGAGCAGAGAGGGCCCUGGGCAGAUCCUGGGUGUGUGCACAUGAGGGCCCCGGGCAGGGCAGGGCAGAGGAGGUUGGGACACUGAGUCAGAGGUAUGCUCCUGAAGGCAACCCACAAGGGGGCCAGUUCGUGGAACUGCAGGCCUGAUCCUGAGCAGCAUGGUGCGGAGCUGUCUGGACAGGCCUGCAGAGAAGGGCGCCUACCUUACUGAGGUCAACCACACACAUCCAGUAGCCACAAGGCUGCUGUCGCAAGGCGGUGCCUGGCCUAUCUUGUGAUGAUGUUUGUUUUUACACAUAAUGUUAUGCUUUGCUUAUGGACAAGCAAUGGAGGCUGGCGAGGCUGCCCUGGGCCUGUUACACACCCAGAGGGCCCUGUGCCCACCUCAGGCCUCAUUCUCUCCUGAGGAGAGAGCCCAGUGUCCGGAAGACAUCCCUCCCCUCCUGUUUGUUCUCUCCUGCCCUCUCUCUGCUUCUGCUUUUAAGAAACACCUGUUGGCCAGGCGCGGCGGCUCAUGUCUGUAAUCCCAGUACUUUGGGAGGCUGAGGCGGGCAGAUCAGGAGGUCAGGAGUUCAAGACAAGCCUGGCCAACAUGGUGAAACCCCUGUCUCUACGAAAAAUACAAAAAUUAGCUGGGCAUGGUGGCGCGUGCCUGUAGUCCCAGCUCCUCGGGAGGAUGAGGUGGGAGAAUCGCUUGAACCUGGGAGGCUGAGGUUGCAGUGAGCCGAGAUGACACCACUGGACUCCAGCCUGGGCUAUAGAACAAGACUCCCUUUAAAAAGAAAAAAAAAUUCAUGAUCUGGAAGCCCGAGUGUAGCUAACUGGUGGACAGAUGAAAGUGAAAUGUGUGAUGUUUCCUAAGACCCCCUAAGACUUCCCUGAGCCACGGGAGGCUCUCACGAGUGUGUAAGCCAGGGUUUUGGGGAAGGGGUGGAUGUGUGUGUCUCGCAUUUUCCCAGCUGCCUCUCCUUUCCCCUUCUUCCUUGCUCCCGGAGACUUCCUUGUGGAUUCCUUCCCAGAACUUGGUCUGAAUUCCCUAAUAGACAUUCUCCUAGCGGGAUGAGUCCCCCUUUACAGCACUCGGGAAAUGCCUGCUCCUCUAGCUGUCUCUGAUCCACCUCUCCUGUCUUUCAACUAAGGCCCCCACAUGCCAGACCAUCGUUGGUGGACCUCGUCACCAGCAUGAAGUGGGCUCUUGGAGUUGUCGACUGACUAGUUCACAAUUAGUGACUCAUAGCAUCUCACUCAUUUCCUUUUCAUCAGUAGGAGGCAGCAGUCUGCACUUUUGCAUCACAUUUCAAAGACAUCUGUGUGUUUGUUCUCGUGCAGAACACUUUGACUAUUGUAACCUCUAGGUCCAUGAAUGACCCUCAUCUUCAGUAAAAGUGGAUUCACGCUGGCAAAGUCUGCUUUGUUUUAUUGUGACACAUGGAACAUUAUGGAUUUUGGUGAAUAAAAACUAACUUAAAUUGAAGUCA